AGUCGUGUUGCUUGAUAGUGCAGCACAAAGCGGGAGGUAAACUCCUUCUAAAGCUAAAUAUGACCACGAGACCGAUAGCGAACAAGUACCGUGAGGGAAAGUUGAAAAGCACUCUGAAUAGAGAGUCAAAAAGUACGUGAAACUGCCUAGGGCUCAAACCCGUUGAACUCGAUUAUCCGUGGCGGAGAUAUUCACUAGUAGGCGGCGGGCUGUGUAUGCAGACCGGCACCCUGCUCGGCACUUAUCUCUUGCCUCACGCGGACAUUGCGAUCCAUUACGAACGCCUCUCAUUUGAGCAGCAAAGGCCCGUCGAUGCUCCCUUGGUGGUUAUUGCUUGCACCCAUCGUAGCGACGCUCAGUUCGGAAGGCCUGUGUCGCCAGCUGGGGCUUAUACCACGCGGUGUAGCGUACGGGCGCGUGAUGGAUUACCAAGACACCAGACGUUGGCUACCCCUCACCGGGUACAGCCACCCCUCCCUGGGGGUGCACUCGUGCUGGACUGUCG
rnacentral:rRNA from 1 species